rnacentral:rRNA from 1 species
AACGAACGUUGGCGGCGUGGAUUAGGCAUGCAAGUCGUACGCGAAAGAGGGAGCAAUCCCUUGAGUAAAGUGGCGAACGGGUGAGUAACGCGUAGGAAACCUGCCUUCGAGAUGGGGAUAACAUUCCUAACGGGGUGGCUAAUACCGAAUGACACUGCGAAAUCGCAUGGUUUUGGCAGUCAAAGGUGGCCUCUGCUUGCAAGCUACCACUCGAAGAUGGUCCUGCGUCCCANAGCUAGUUGGCGGGGUAAUGGCCCACCAAGGCGACGAUGGGUAGCCGAUCUGAGAGGAUGA